rnacentral:tRNA from 1 species
GUCGGAGUGGCGAAAUUGGCAGACGCACCAGCUUGAGGGGCUGGCGCUCGAAAGGGCGUAGGGGUUCAAGUCCCCUCUUCGACACUA